rnacentral:rRNA from 1 species
GGAUGCGAUCAUACCAGCACUAAAGCACCGGAUCCCAUCAGAACUCCGAAGUUAAGCGUGCUUGGGCGAGAGUAGUACUCGGAUGGGUGACCUCCUGGGAAGUCCUCGUGUUGCAUUCC